rnacentral:rRNA from 1 species
ACGCUCGACACCUACGGGGGCAGCAGUGGGGAAUAUUGCACAAUGGGGGAAACCCUGAUGCAGCAACGCCGCGUGAAGGAUGAAGGCCUUUGGGUCGUAAACUUCUGUUCUAAGGGAAGAUAGUGACUGUACCUUAGGAGCAAGUCCCGGCUAACUACGUGCCAGCAGCCGCGGUAAUCUGAGCGGGCUGGCAAGGC